rnacentral:rRNA from 1 species
CCUACGGGAGGCAGCAGUGGGGAAUAUUGGGCAAUGGAGGCAACUCUUACCCAGCAAUGCCGCGUGAGUGAAGAAGGUCUUCGGAUUGUAAAGUUCUUUAAUUGGGGACGAAAAAACUGACGGUACUCCAGGAAUAAGCCUCGGCUAACUACGUGCCAGCAGCCGCGGUAAUACGUCGGGGGCAAGCGUGCUUCGGAAUGACUGGGCGUAAGGGUGUGUAGGGGGUGUAGCAAGUUAGAAGUGAAAUACCUAGAGCUUAACGCAGGUGCUGCUUCUAACACUGCGAUACUUGAGUGCAGUAGAGGAAAGUGGAAUUCCUAGUGUAGCGGUGGAAUGCGUAGAUAUUAGGAGGAACAUCAGUGGCGAAGGCGACUUUCUGGACUGUAACUGACGCUGAGGCACGAAAGUGUGGGGAGCAAACAGGAUUAGAUACCCUGGUAGUC